UGCCCAGCAACUCCUAUCCCUAUGUUCUCGUGGUACCGGCCGGAAACUAUGAGCAACCUUUUAGGGAAGAUCGGGUAACUAACCCAUGUCGUAGGCUGACAGGGAAGG
rnacentral:ribozyme from 1 species